rnacentral:tRNA from 1 species
GCAUUGAUGGCUCAGUGGUAGAAUUCUCUUUUCACGCAAGAGACCUAGGUUCAGUUCCUGGCCAAUGCA